GUUCCGGUGACUGCAGGGGUUUUCCCGGUGCUUGGUGUUUCCUCCCCGUCGUCCUUUAAACGCGAAUGUGACCCUACCACCAAAGUGGAGUGCAGUCCAGAAUCACCAAACCUGGGCUUCCAGGUGUCUGGAAACACAAUGUUAACAUUUGUUUUGCUCCAAAACAAAGUGUGACCGUGUCGGACGUUUUAGUCCAGCCCCAAAUUUUGCCUCUGAGCAAGAUUCCCAGGACCUCAUUGGAGCAGUUUACAGCCAGUCUUAUCUCACUAUUAACUUCCAUUUUCUGCUGUAGUACUUAAAGUGACAGAAGUUACUCUUCCUAGAAGUAAGUUUUCCAGACGAUUCAAACUGCUGUUAUACAGAGAUUUAAGUAUUUGUGUGCAUGUGUGAAAACAGAGAUAUGUAAUGUAUAUAUUUCAUUUUAUUUCCACUGUUCUACUUCUCUUUUUAAAAAUAAAGCGGUCUCCUCCACUUUGGGUAAAUCUUUCAGCACAUUUGAUCAAA
rnacentral:lncRNA from 1 species